AUAGUUUAACAGUAAGUCACCACAAACUCAUCUUCCUGGCUCCACGUUAGCAUAUCUUCAGGGCAGGCAAGAGCAACGAGUCUUUGCUGGUGGCACCGCCUUGGUUAUGGGACCACAGACCCGGGAUGGGGCAAACGACAGGCGUGAGGAAGGAAAAGAUGGCGCCGUGGUGCUUCAGGGCCUGUGGAAGGGGUGAGGAAAGAAGACAAGAUGGCGCCCCCUAGCGUCGGGUUGGGGCCCGGCCUGGUUCUCUGAGGAGAAGUGGCGGGAAGGGGUGGAAUAGGCAACGCCCUCAGCUAAAGCCUUUACUUUUUCCCCCAAUCCAUAAAAUGAGUGGUUUUGGUGCUUUCAGAAAGUUAUUUGAAGGGGAGAAUUGUGUUAUCUUCUUAUGUACUGUUAGAGGUGGGGCAGCAUAGGCUGGAAUAGUGGGAUUGGCUUGUUUCAGCAGGUGGCUUUGUGCUGAUAAGCUCCAGGUAAUCCUGCUUUGAUAACCCCAAUAAAACACAAUGGCUGUCAGGGGAUGGAGAAGAUACAAGGUCCGUUGUUAUUAACCAGGAGUUUGCAAACGUUCGGAGAUUAAAGCUGCACUCCGAAUUGAGAUGAUGGAAUCAUGAAUGCAGAAUAAAUUUAAUGGAGCUCAUCUGGUAAGCAUGAGCCAAAGGAAUGAAAAUAAAACUUGGAGCUGCAUGCUUAUGAGUGUAAAGUUAGGCAGCAGUGAACUGUGCUACCUAUGUGAGUCAAACCCUCAGCCAAUUUCUGGUUGCUGGAUACCUUCUAUUGUUUUUAAUAGACAAAAGGACCAUCCUACUCAGAGAGCAGCUCUGCAAACUACUGUGCUGAGGCAGUAGUUGGGUGAGCACGUAUUAGUGAGAGAAGAACCUGGAGCUGCAAAUGCAUCCCCUCGGCUUGCUCCACAGGGUACUCAAACAGGAGGAAGCCAGAGGGGAGAGAAGCUUGUGAUGAGGAGACAGUUAUACGUUGAUGGUUAGAGCUCUUCCUCUUCACGUCUCGCUGAAGUGUGUGUGGCACUGCCCCUCGUUUGGCUACCUUCGCACAGGCCUGCUGAUGGUGUAAGGUAUUAUUGCAAGCAUGGAGAUGAGAAUAAAACUGGGAGCCGGAGAUUCUGCUUCAUGCUACUGGCUGUGCCGCCCGCUGACAGACGGACUUCGGUGCAAUCCCUUCACUCGGAAUGCUGAAGCACAGAGGGGUAACUUCUUAAGUGGCUUCACCUCUCUCUGCCUCGACGUUGCAGUCUUUUCAAGGGGAGAUGAUUACUUCCUAGCUCUUCAGCCUUGUUCAAACAAACUGUUGAAGACCAGAGGUCAGCUCACUCAGACUGAUCAAAACUCACAGGUGGGAGAGGUCAAGUUGUUCUCCAAGAGGGAAACAGAUGUUUGCUUUUUUGACCUUGAUUUCAGCUGUAUUUGGCAAGAGAAGCUAACUGAUAACACAGGUGCCCCAGAGCAUGCCUCUCAAAAUGCGAUCUCUGUCUCAGUGAGACCAUCUUCAUUUAGUAAAUGAAAACCUACCAUUCACAACCCAGGGCAUGGGAGAUGGCCUCUGCUGUUAAUGAUUUUGCUGAUUAAAAUAUCUUGUAUUUAAUUGCAAUGUGUGCUACUGGUAUGUUCCAAGCAAACAGUGUGUCAUCAGAGAAAUUGGGGAAAGUGAGUUGUUUGCUCUGCCAAGAGAUGCUGACUUGAGUCACCUAAAACAGUGUUCGUCUGGUGCAGUUCUCUGAGCUGCAGGCCAGAACCUUCUGCUGAACCACAGCAGCGGACGGAGAACCCGUGCAGUGCCAAGUCCUGAAGCCCUGUGCACGUCUCUGCCUGUGCCUCCUGUCUGCUCCCUGCACAAGACCCUGCGAUUAGACUCCGUGCCUGUGUUGUCGGGUUUGCUGGUUUCAGGGAAGCUUACCGUACACAAAGAGGAGCUAUUUGUUUAAAUGGGUCUGUAGGGAGAGAUGACUGCAAUAAUUGCAGGCUGUUAAAUAUGCACGUUUGAAAGUUAAUUCAUGUACUGCAUUCAAAGCCAAAUAUCCAGGACAGAUAACUGUUUUUAAAAAUAGCCUGGUUAUUUAGCCUGGUUAUUACAAAACAAACAAGGGAAUAUAGAUGAAACAGCAAAAGCCCACCUGAUUCCAGUACUAUAAAAAUGUCAGUGACAUACAGUAGGGGCCUUCAUGCCUAUUUAACUAUUGCUUUUCUUCCAGAAGGUGUCAGAAACAAGCCUGUGCACCGUCAGGCUUAGGCACUAGUAGUGUGCUGGCGCUAGGACAGGGGGAAGGUGGUAGUGGUCCAAAUCAGCUCCUUAUGCCUGAACUCAGCUUUUUUUUUUUUUGUUCUUCUAGAUGUGAAACUUUUGUGUCUGAGUGUGAUUAAACAGAAUACAGCCACGUCAAUCAUGCUCAUGUCCAGGACAGUUGUUCCAGUAGUAAUUCCUCAAGGCUUGCGAUCAGAAAGCGGAGAGCUGUGUAUACAGAACAACAUAUAGCACAGCAGGAGGAAAGAACAACUAUCUUGCAAAUGUAUACAUACGUGUCUAUAUGCAGGACAUAGCUGUGAAACGCUGACCUUUUCAUUCCCCCUGGAAAGUACUGGCAGUACUAGCUUCUUCAUUUCCUUUUCUGCUGUUUGCUGUAUGAGCUGCAGCAGUGUGGCCUGGCUGCUGCUUUGUAGUUUGUGCUCCCAGAGCCAAAUAUUGGUCCCAGUGAAACCAAGGGAGUUCUGCCCUGCAAGGGAGGGGGAACCUCUGUGAGGAAGAUUACAACUUGGCCUUGAUAGGAUCCAGUAGAUGUAGCCAGCAACAUAAAUCUAAUGGCAGAGCUCUGUAUUUCCUUGUAAACGCAGCUCUCUUGAGGGUUAGUUGGUGGGAUGUGCAUUUGUUUUGAUGUUUGUUAGAUGAUAUUAUCAUGACAGAGGGUUGUUUUAAAACCAGAUACUGCAUUUACACAGGUCUUAUGGACAUCACUUAUAAAGAUAAUAUACCCUCUGCAACCAGCUGAAAUUGGAUGCAGAGCCAGGGAAAUGACCUGGCUGGCUGUUCAGUGAGCAGAAUAUUUCCCUGUGAGCACUGAUUGUAGUCAACAUUGCUUUCCUGUUGAUAGGAGUAUGUGUGAGGUAUGUGCUUUCUGCAGCAAGAGUGUUUGGUCUUCAGCUUUCCAAUUAACUGUGGAGCUUGUCUGUGUCCCCAUCACGUGUCACCCCCCAGACUCCGCCCCCGCCCAGUCUUCUCAACAGUAAAAUUCAUUCCCUUUAUUCCAGACCAGUUCCUGACCAGUUCCAGUCUAACAGAGGUGUCAGAAACAGUCAUUUAUUUUACUGUGGAUGAAUAAAUUAAAUAAAUGGUUUGCCAUUGUUUCCUUAUGGAAAUUAUAUUGUCUUCAAGGCCUGACCCUAAGAAAUAAUAGGCUUCUACAUUUGAUAUGAGUAGGCAUAUGCCAUUCUUCAUAUUGAGUUCUUAACGUGUUUUCUAAGACAAAAUGUAAGUGGAUCAUGGAAGCAGGUACAUCCCUGAUGCUUGUGGCCUUCUGGGUCUCAUCUGUCCAUCUGAGGCCCCAUGUGUGCCUUCUUCCUUUGUCUCUUUGAUGAGCAGUAACACAGCAGAGUACAGUAUGUAAUCACUUGUCUCUUCUCAGUUGUAGAGCAGAAGAGAAUCUUGUUUGUAAGGUGAAAGUCUUCGAGAGAUGAAUAAAGGUUACAGAGAGAAGGUUUGACAGGUUUUGCUAUACUUUGCUGCUGCAUAAUGAAAAAUGAUGAAAGUCAGCAAGCCCAUACUGAAAGAAAGUUUAAGCCAUGUGGAGACUUCUGUCCACCUGCUUGGAGAAGAAAGGUAUAUGCAGGAGUGAGCAGUGAGUCCUGUAUUUGGGUGCAGGUUGCAGCAUUUUUUUUUUGUGGGUUUGAAAGUUGCAGGUGUGGGGAGGGAAGAAAGUAAACUGCAGCACUGACACUUGGAGGCUGCAGUUAGGAAAUCUGUCUUAUCCUCUUGCACAAAAAUUUACAGUUUUCCAAGUCAUUGGCAUAACCAUGGAAAGUCGACAGCAUGAUGUGUUGUUACCUCAGCUCUAGUGUAAACUUUUCAUCGUGGAAAUGUAAUUGAUGCUAUCUUGUUCAUGGCGGCUCAGUGUUGUAAUGGCAGUGCACUCCAAUGAAGAGUGGAAUCUCAAGAUGGAGAACAUGCUCCUAACUCACAUCCUGGGGUAGAGAACAUACAGCCAUGCUCUAAAGAAUAAGUUUAAUACAUUUUAUGUAUAUCAUCAAUACAGGUUCAGAACAAGAUAAUGCACAGUGGUUAAAGCCACUCGAUGUACUCUUCUUGUAUUCCUCAUUGAAGAGCGUGCAAAAAGAUAUUAGAGUGACAAGUGAAAUACAACAUUCUUUGUUCUGUCCUGAUUUGUCAAGGGCAUGUGAACUGCAUUGUUCUGUUGUCGUUUGGAGGGUAGUAUUUUCUCUGUGCUCCCUCUGAGGCUACCAGAGUGUGUCAUGAAGGAGAAGUACCCAGGUGGCUUUGAGCACAUACCUGUCUCUAGCACCCUUCAGCAUACUUGCUCAGUAAUUCCAGGCUCAUAGAUAGUAAAAGGAUGUUCUUUCUUGAGAGGUUAUUGGGAGGAAUUAAUCAAGAAUUUCUUAUUGAAAUGUCUCUGUUGUAAAACGAUAAUUCAUUAAAAUCAAACAUGUUUGCAGGA